GAUGAACGCUGGCGGCGUGCCUAAUACAUGCAAGUCGAGCGCAGCGGGGACGGGUGAGUAACACGUGGAUAACCUCUUAUAAGACUGGGAUAACUUCGGGAAACCGGAGCUAAACCGGAUACUUAUCGAUGGAUCCGCGCUGCAUUAGCUAGUUGGUAAGGUAACGGCUUACCAAGGCAACGAUGCAUAGCCGACCUGAGAGGGUGAUCGGCAACAUGGGAACUGAGACACGGUCCAGACUCUUACGGAAGGCAGAAGUGGGGAAUCUUCCGCAAGGGGCGAAAGCCUGACGGAGCAAGGCCGCUUGGUUGAGGAAGGUCUUCGGAUGGUAAAACUCUGUGAUUAGGGAAGCGGUACCUAAUCAGAAAGCCACGGCUAACUACGUGCCAGCCGCCGCGGUAAUUC
rnacentral:rRNA from 1 species